rfam:Homo sapiens chromosome 17 genomic contig HSCHR17_3_CTG1, GRC reference assembly NOVEL PATCH for GRCh38.
AAGACUAUACUUCCGGAUAUCACUUCUAUAGUUUGUUACUAGAGAAGUUUUUCUGAACGUGUAGAGCACGGGAAAGCACAAGGGAGAAAUGUAGUUUUUUUUUCUGAGCGUGAAAAUGGUUUUUUGUUGUUGCUUUCAUUGCAAGUACGAUUUGCCAUUGACGAUCGUUCUUACUGUUCUCUUUGGAGGGUAAGAGGAAGAGAACGCGGUCUGAGUG